rnacentral:rRNA from 1 species
UACGUAGGGAGCGAGCGUUGUUCGGAUUUACUGGGCGUAAAGGGCAGGUAGGCGGGUGUGUCAGUCGGUUGUGAAAUCCUCUGGCUCAACCAGAGAAUUGCAGCCGAUACUGCACAUCUUGAGUCCAGCAGAGGGAAUUGGAAUCCUAGGUGUAGCGGUGAAAUGCGUAGAUAUCUAGGAGAACACCAGUGGCGAAGGCGGAUUCCUGGGCUGGUACUGACGCUGAGCUGCGAAAGCGUGGGGAGCGAACAGG